rnacentral:rRNA from 1 species
UUGGCUCAGAACGAACGCUGGCGGCAGGCCUAACACAUGCAAGUCGGACGGUAGCACAGAGAGCUUGCUCUUGGGUGACGAGUGGCGGACGGGUGAGUAAUGUCUGGGGAUCUGCCCGAUAGAGGGGGAUAACCACUGGAAACGGUGGCUAAUACCGCAUAACGUCGCAAGACCAAAGAGGGGGACCUUCGGGCCUCUCACUAUCGGAUGAACCCAGAUGGGAUUAGCUAGUAGGCGGGGUAAUGGCCCACCUAGGCGACGAUCCCUAGCUGGUCUGAGAGGAUGACCAGCCACACUGGAACUGAGACACGGUCCCACG